AACAAACUCUUAUCCCGAUCUAAC
rnacentral:siRNA from 1 species